rnacentral:misc_RNA from 1 species
UUUCCGUAGGUGAACCUGCGGAAGGAUCAUUGUCGAAACCUGCCCAGCAGAACGACCCGCGAGCUUGUAUAAACAACUGGGGGCGGGGGGCGUUCUCGCCCCGUGCCCCCGAACGGCGGGGAGACACUCGUGCCUUCUUGCCGAACAACGAACCCCGGCGCGGUCUGCGCCAAGGAACUUCAACUAAAGAGUGCCUCCGGUCGCCUCGGAAACGGCGUGCGUGCCGGAGGCGAAUCUUGUGCAAAACCAUAACGACUCUCGGCAACGGAUAUCUCGGCUCUC